UGGGGAAUAUUGGACAAUGGGCGAAAGCCUGAUCCAGCCAUUCCGCGUGAGUGAAGAAGGCCUUCGGGUUGUAAAGCUCUUUUGUCCGGAACGAAACGGGUAGCGUGAAUAGCGCUGCCUACUGACGGUACCGGAAGAAUAAGCACCGGCUAACUACGUGCCAGCAGCCGCGGUAAUACGGAGGGGGCGAGCGUUAUUCGGAAUUAUUGGGCGUAAAGGGCGCGGAGGCGGCCUGGCAAGUCAAAGGUGAAAUCCCUCGGCUCAACUGAGGAACUGCCUUUGAAACUGCCUGGCUUGAGGCCGGGAGGGGGUAGCGGAAUUCCCAGUGUAGCGGUGAAAUGCGUAGAUAUUGGGAGGAACACCAGUGGCGAAGGCGGCUACCUGGACCGGUUCUGACGCUGAUGCGCGAAAGCGUGGGUAGCAAA
rnacentral:rRNA from 1 species